rnacentral:rRNA from 1 species
UACGUAGGGUGCAAGCGUUGUCCGGAAUUAUUGGGCGUAAAGAGCUCGUAGGCGGUUUGUCGCGUCUGCUGUGAAAACUCGGGGCUUAACCCCGGGCCUGCAGUGGGUACGGGCAGACUAGAGUGCGGUAGGGGAGACUGGAAUUCCUGGUGUAGCGGUGGAAUGCGCAGAUAUCAGGAGGAACACCAAUUGCGAAGGCAGCUCGCUGGGACGUUACUGACGCUGAGACGCGAAAGCGUGGGGAGCAAACAGG